rnacentral:rRNA from 1 species
AGAGUUUGAUCAUGGCUCAGAAUCAACGCUGGCGGCGCGCUUAACACAUGCAAGUCGAGCGAGAAAGGGGAGCAAUCCCUGAGUACAGCGGCGUACGGGUGAGUAACACGUGGAUGAUCUACCUUCUAGUGGGGAAUAACCCUGGGAAACCGGGGCUAAUACCGCAUGAGCCUGGAAAGGGAAAGCAGCGAUGCGCUGGAAGAGGAGUCCGCGGCCGAUUAGCUAGUUGGUGAGGUAACGGCCCACCAAGGCGAUGAUCGGUAGCCGGCCUGAGAGGGCACACGGCCACACUGGCACUGAAACACGGGCCAGACUCCUACGGGAGGCAGCAGUGGGGAAUCUUGCACAAUGGAGGCAACUCUGAUGCAGCGACGCCGCGUGAGCGAUGAAGCCCUUCGGGGUGUAAAGCUCUUUCGGCAGGGACGAUAAUGACGGUACCUGAAGAAGAAGCUGCGGCUAACUACGUGCCAGCAGCCGCGGUAAUACGUAGGCAGCGAGCGUUGUUCGGAAUUACUGGGCGUAAAGAGUGUGUAGGCGGUGCUCUAAGUUCGGUGUGAAAUCUCCCGGCUCAACUGGGAGGGUGCGCCGGAAACUGGAGUGCUCGAGCGUGGGAGAGGAAAGCGGAAUUCCCGGUGUAGCGGUGAAAUGCGUAGAUAUCGGGAGGAACCCUGCGGUGUAGACGGCUUUCUGGACCAUUGCUGACGCUGAGACACGAAAGCGUGGGUAGCAAACAGGAUUAGAUACCCCCGUAGUCC